AGCGAACGCUGGCGGCAGGCCUAACACAUGCAAGUCGAGCGCCCCGCAAGGGAGGCGGCAGACGGGUGAGUAACACGUGGGAACGUACCCUUCGGUUCGGAAUAGCCCGGGGAAACGUCGGAGUAAUACCGAAUACGUCCGUAAGGAGAAAGAUUUAUCGCCGAAGGAUCGGCCCGCGUCUGAUUAGCUUGUUGGUGAGGUAACGGCUCACCAAGGCUACGAUCAGUAGCUGGUCUGAGAGGAUGAUCAGCCACACUGGGAC
rnacentral:rRNA from 1 species